CUCAGGGAUGGCAGAGCCUGGUGGGCUGCUGUCUAUGGGGUUGCACAGAGUCGGACACGACUGAAGCGACUUAGCAGCAGCAGCAGCAGCAGUGAUAGCUAUUCUAGACUUUAAGGUCCCCACCGGGGUCUAGACUUUAAGGUGUUUAUGUUUCAUUUUUAGGGAGAAUAUAUUAUUUCCAGUGGUUUUAUUAUAUAGCAGACAUUUUCAGUAAGCCCUCUCCUGGAAAUCUUUUUUUUUUUUUUUUUUAAUUUAUCUAAGCACUUAGCAUUUACCAUAUGCCAGUAGGUCUGCAGAGGAAAGAAAAUAAGACUGAAUCCUCCUUCUCUGAUCAGUCAAAAUGCCUUAUUUAUAUCAAGAAAAAGAAGAGAAAAUGUUCAUUUAAAAAUGAGCCAAAUCUUCUCCUCCCCAAAUGACAAAACCCAAACCUAAACUGUUGAGGAGAGAUUAGGCAAUCAAUCACUAGGUCAGAAAAAUAAACUAAGGAAAGAGAAUGGAACAAAUACUUAAAUGAAAGUAGAAAAAAAUUGGUGCCUUGAAAGCUAAGUCCUAAAUACAAAAGUGUUACAUGUUUGAGACGAAAUACAGGUCAUGUAAACAUUUUGUCCUCCAUGUGCACAAAGGGAAAAUUUACAAUUUUGAAAAAUUGUGGAUAACAUUGAGUCCCAAGUACAUGUGAUCUGGUAAACAAUUUGAGCAGCUGCAUGAUGAUUAGCUGCUGGGGAAAUGGCAUGCAGGGCCUUGCAUCCAGCAGGGAGGCAGGAAGAGAUGACUGGUGCUUUUCACGCAAGGCUCUCAAAGCAAGAGGAUGAACUGGGCUAGGUAGCAGGUGUGGCCACAAACCAAGGGGAGCACACCUGAGGUGCAAAUCCUCAAUGAAACUUGCUUCCUCCUGAAGCUGAGCCUCCUCUGUCCCACCUGGUGCCUGGCAAGUGACUCAGCAAUUUCCAAGAGUCCUGGUUUGAAUCAGCCUCACCCUGAGGGUGAGGUCCCUCUGGAGCUUGGGCUAGCAGGAGAGGUAAGAUGCAAAUCCUCUCACCAUAUCCUGACCCCACUUUUCACGGGCACUUUGCAUUUGAUUUUUUUUUUUUUUUUUUCCAUCUACAGGCCAUGGCUUGUUCUUAAGGAGCUGCUAGUCAUUUAAUUUCAGUGAUGCCUAAAAUGUGGGCUAAACAAAAUCAAAUGAUAUUGUAGGCAACAGCAGAGAGAAGUCUGGGGGGUAGCUGUGUAGCUAUGAGCCUUGUGAAGAUACUCUAAAUAGGUUAGGCUUUGCCACUGGAGUUCCUCAGGGCCCUGGGGGACAUUGCAGCCACUUCUUGCCCAAUACUGAUCUCACUUUUAGAUGUUCUCAUAUGACAUUUACACAAGGGAGCCCCCACCACUUGUUGGGGACCUGCCUACUAUCAUUUCAUGGGCUCCAUGCAUGUUCCUUCUCUCCUGUGCUGCACGAUUGGUGGUCUGCUGUAACUGUGCAGAUGUUCUCCUGUGCUAUUUCAUGAUUAUUUUUCAAGUGGCCUCUUAGUCAAAGGAUGGCAGGUCAGCACAUGAAAACAUCUGCUCUUACCAUUUUUCUAAGCAAACAGCAGAUGGCAUUGCUGCUGUCCUUUUGAUCUGGAGCAAAAAUUCCCAAGGCUAAGGUGCUGGUUUACACUGACACUGCCUGGUAAGGGACGGCCCAAGGGUCUGCCUCCCCCAACAGUAGCACUGCCUUCAGCUGUCUUCUCUGCAACAGUUCUAUUUAGUUUAUUUCUUCCUGGGACUCUACUUCAGCAGGCUGUCUUAAUCUUUGAUUCUUCUUCCUGUGAUUGUUGCCUGAUCACCUCACUGGUAUCAGCCACGGUCCCCAGGUUUCUUCCCGUUUGUCACCUGUUGGGGUUCUACUCCUGUUGCCAGUGAGGAGACAGUCUGGAUCCCCUCAGGAUUUGGACACUGGAUAUGUAUGUGCCAUGGACCAAACAAGGUUAUCUGGGAAAUCAGUUCAGUUGCUCAGUCAUGUCUGACUCUUUGUUACACGGUGGACCGCAGCAUGCCAGGCUUCCCUGUCUAUCAUCAAGCUUGCUCAAACUCAUGUCCAUUAAGCCUCUGAUGCCAUCCAACCAUCUGAUCAUCUGUCGUCCCCUUCUCCUCCUGCCUUCAAUCUUUCCCAGCAUCAGGUGGCCAAAGUACUGGCCAAAGUAUCUGGGAAAUAGCUGAACCUAAAACACCUAAGCUUUUUCUAGGUGUUUGUUAAGCCAAACAGACCAUCUUAAAAUUACAUUUUUAACAGUUGGACUUGUAAAACUUUAAUGUAUAUGUUCCUUUAAGUUUGUAACCCAUUGAAGAACUGUUAUCUUUACAGUGCAAAGAUACAAAAGAAAUUUCUUCUUCAACUUUAUUUUCUAGAUUGAGUGCUAAUAUGUUGGAAGAAAACAACCUUGCACUUUUUCCUUAUUAAAUUGGAUUUUCAAUAUAUAUUUCAUUGUAAUAUAACCUUAAGUCAUCUGCUUCCUCAUUCUCUAGCAUCUUUCUUUGGUAGGGGUGUUUCUUCUUUGAUGUCAUCAGUCAAGUUCUUUAUGUAUGUCUUUACUUCUUCUUCCUAAUCUUUUAUAUCCUGCCAAGAGUUCCGGGAAGCUUCGAUUUCCUCAUCUGUAAAAUGGGGAUAAUUAAAGUAUUUUCCUUAUAGAAUUAUGAGGAUUAAAUGAGAUAAUGUACGCCUAGAGAGUGCUUUCAAAGUGGCACUCGUCAUCAUCUUCAUCAUCAUUACAUUAUUAGUAGGUCAAGGUGUCAGAAGACUCAGCUUGAGCGUUUCCUUGCUGAAAUGUUGGGCACUAUUAUUAUCUCUUUUUUCUCAAUGUAGGAGCCCAUUUGAUUGCCUUUUACUACUUGAUAUCUUAUGUAUUCCAGCUCUGCAUUAAUUGUUUUAUAUCUCUAGAGAACUAUACUCAGAUACAGUUCUUGAGCUGUUUUUGGUCUUAUUUGAUAUAAAUAUUUAUAGCUUUUUGAGUUAAGCAUCCCCAGGUUUAUAUUAUAAUUUUAACAUGGUAUAGUAAUUAUCACAUUUAAAGAUUUAUUUUGAUCUUUGCCUUUGGUUGUUCACAAAAGAAAAAACUACAGUCACACGGUUAAACCCUCACAGAGAGAGUGAAAUAUAUUGAAACAUGCUGAAGAGGGAUCCCAUGCCUUUCCAUCUAUUUCCAGUUUGCUACUUUCUCCUCAGAGUUCCACCCUCUCUGAUCUGCACAGCCUGUGAUGAUUCAAAAUGGCAGGUGUGCACGCAUGCUUCAUUGCUUCUCAUGUGUCAGAUGGCCAGGUUGUAGUAGCUCCAUUCAAUUUAAAUUUUAUGCAGCUAUGCAGCUACCAAUGUCUGUUAUGGGCUUCCAUUAUGGCUCUGCGGUAAAGACUCUGCCUGCAAUGCAGGAGACCCAGGUUUGAUCCCUGAGUUGGAAAGAUCCCCUGGAGGAGGGCAUGGCAACCCACUCCAGUAUUCCUGCCUGGAGAAUCCCAUGGACAGAGGAGCCUGGUGGGCUGCAGUCCAUAAGGUUGCACAGAAUCAGACACGAUUGAAACAACUAAACAGCAGCACCAAUGUCUAUUGUAUUCUUGCAGAUCAGACUUUAGAAUGGCCCAGGCUUUUAGGAUAUGUACUUUUUCACAGCAAAGUAUUUGGAGGCUCAGGAAGUAAAACCUUUUAGAAUACUUGGCAGGCACCUGAAGUGAUUAGAAAAAAGAAAUAAUACAUGUGCCUACUUUUCUUUUCUUUUUUUUUUUUUUUAAGACAAGUUCUCAAAAGUAGAAGAGUUGUCAAAAAUGAAGGUCUUGGUACAUGCUACUCUUUCAGAAUUAUAUUAGCAAAUAAAAAGGGAGGAGUAGAGGGGAUAUUUAAGAGAAAGUAUGAGUCAUGUUCCUAACAAGAAAAGGCAGUCACCAACUUUGUGUGGAAACAGUCCAAAAGCACGUCUGUUAACGUCUAAGUCAUUCUAGAAGUUGGGAUUACCAAGUCAGUAAAGUUUAAAUACCAGUGAUUAGUUUACGUAACACUGGAAAAACAAAUCUCCUUCUAUCUUUCAAACAAAUAUUUCUGGUGAGCCCAUCCCAGUGUCCUUUUAUUUCACUUCCACUCAACUCUUUUGAAAUUUGUCAAAUCUUCUUAUUCAAAUGUUGCUCUUUUUUCCCCUCAUGUGUAGCCUUAGGAAUAAGGCUGUCCCCCAAAGAGGUUUACCUAUUCUCAGCUAACUUCUUUCUUAAUUUAGUGCCACAUUCGACUUUGUCCUUGCUAAUUCUGAUUUGAAAAUUCGAUUUGCCACACUUCCUUCUCUUGCCCGAGUUAGGCCUGAUCUUCAUCCUUUAAAGGAGUUCUCUUGUGCUGUUUCCUUUCCCCUUUCCCCUGAGCGCUUUCAGUUCAUUUCUUCAUUUACUUUGUUUCCUUCCAGCUUUACAACUUAUUUUACAGUCCAGUUGGAUCAAUUUAACUACCUGUUACAAUUUAUUGUACUUUUAGUUUAAUUUUCAUGGUAAAAAAAAAAAAAACUUUUCCUCUUAUUAGUUAUGUAAUAUUUCCUGCAUCUACAAAUUGUCAAUUUUCUACUCAAGGAGGUUGACUCCAAAACUGACCCUGGCCUCUCCCUCAAACUCAAAUCUGUCUUCCUCCUCGGCUACCUAACCUCAGUUGUAUUGGUGUCCCUCUAGUGCUAUAAGCUCAUCAUGUUCCUGUGUUUGUUAACAGAGCCACUCAGUUAGCCUAAACCACAGAUUUGGUGUUUUCUUUAUCUUAGGCUCCCUUUUCUUGUUUUGCAUUCAACUGGGUACCACAUCCUAUAAGUCAGCUUCCGGUGUGUUUCUCUCAUUGAUGUGCUCAGUUCCAUGCUUAUAUCAUUGAGUUCCCUCGACCUUCACUGCUUUUAUCCUCCCACAUUUCUCCCAACUUACAACUCAUGCCCCUGCCAUUGCCACCACCCAACCACAUGUCCCACCCUCAGCUUUCCUGCUUCCCGCCACUUCCAAUCCAUCAUACACACAGCUACCAGACUUCCUAAUAUGUGGCUCUAGUAGUUUAUUUUUGCCCCAGACCUUUCAAUGCCUCUCUGCUGCCUACUACCUCCCUUCCCAAUCCCUACUGCAAGGACACUGGUCAUUUCUUCAAGACUUGCUCCAGGAAGCCAUCCUUGGUUCUGCUAUAUUGCUUCCCAAGCCUGCUGGCCAGUCUCACUUUACUUAUUCCUCUUUCCUCAUCUGUCAACUUCUAUCUCCUGUUAUAGCCUACUGUAUUUCUUUCUUUUUGACUAGAAUUUAAUACCCACAAAGGUGACAACCAUUGCCUUAAUUAGUUUUGUAUUCUUCAUGGUGCCCAGCAUGCUUGGUACUUGAUAAAUAUAUGUUGAAAAUAUAUAUAUGUGUGUGUGUGUAUAAUUAAAUAUAAUCUCCAAUAUCUUCAUUUACUUGUUUCUUUUUUUUUAACAUAAUCUUCACAACUAGUGUGUCUUUACUGUUGUGAUACUCCAAAAUUCAAGACUUCUCCUUUCCAACCAGUACUUGUACUUUACAGAAGAAAGUGGGAAAGAAUAAAAAACCAAUUAUUAUCACAUUUGGAUAAAUGCUGAAGGAACUCAGAAAGUUCAUUUCAGUUUGCCUUGCCUGGCAAGCUUACAUAUUUACCUGAACUUUAAAAAUCUUGAAGAGCAUUAUUUGCUUAUAAAUUUAUCUCCUCUACUAAGAAACCUUUGAAUCCCUACAGGCAGGGACUGAUUGAAUAUAUUCAAUGUGUAAAUGUUGAAUAUACAGAUGAAUGUAUAAAUAUAAAAGAAGCUGGAUGUUCUCACAUUACUUCUUUUAAGAGCGCUUCAGAGUAAAAGAUUAGCAAUGACUAAUCUGUAGUUAUUAGUUACCUUUAUUUUUAGUCCAGCACAGGAUAGCUGCAUGAAAAUAUCAGUUUGAAUUGUAUGAAACUAGAGAUGUUCGAGCGUUUUAACAAAAACAGCAAUUUCACAUGGCUUAACUUAUGUAGGUGUGGAUUGGGACAAGUCUAGAAUCUAUAGAACUUAAUGUUAGUACCUUGGGUCUGUAUGUAUCUGGUUCUUUCUUCACUCUAAAUUGAUUUGUUACUUUACUUUUGACUCAGCCUAUGGAGAUAAAGUGCUAAUUAGUAAUGCUAGUUGUUAGUCAUUACUGGUAAUUAUUGGCUUAAUUCUCUAGUUACAGGUUCAUAUUCAUAAUUAGUUGGUUUUAUUAUACUAGUAAUUAAAAUAUAAAAUUAAUUGAGUAUUUUCUUUUCUUUCAUGUUGGCCUAAAGGUAUAUACAUGCCAUGUCAUGACUCUAACUCAGUAACUUUCAUGUAUGUUGGUGAAUUAUACUCUUAGGCUCAUCCAUUCAUUGACUAUUCCAUCAGCAAGUGUUUCUUGAGCAUCUACUCUGGGCAUGCCUUCUCAAAUAACAUAGGGUUCCUGGCCUCAAGGAGAGAUGGUAUGAACAGUGCAUGGCCUAUAAUCUUUGCUCACUGAACAGUUGCUGUGAUAAUCAUUAUUAUGACAAUGGUCAUAAUCUCAAGUGAUAGCAAGCUAUACUUUAAGAAUGGUUCUUCAUAAUAAUAAAAAAUUACUGUCAUACUUUUUUUUUUUCCUUCUGACAUUUUUGUGACUAAGGAGAGUGAGAAGAAUCUAGAGGUGUCAUCAUUAAGUAAAUGUUCUAUUGUGACAACUUUAUAGAAGUUUAUUUGGAUCUUUGCUCAAUGUCAGCAGAGACAAUGGGAUCUGAAGCCUCACUCCUCUUUCUGCUUUUCCCCUGUUGGGAGCUAAAGCACUGAGAAGCAUUUCCCCUGCGAGACCAUGGCUCAAAACCUGUACCGCCAAAACAGCCCUGCUUGCAUGAGCCUCUAUCGCCUGCCUGGGAUAGGCCGUCGGAAGUACAAAAGUGCCAGCACAGCACCGCUCCCUGCUUAUGUUCGUUUCUGGUUAUUUCAGCGAAUCCUCCAGACUCCUGAAUAACGUGGAUUUUGCAUGUACGGUGUACUCUUGUUUGGUUUGGUUUAGGUAAUUUUGACUAAAUUGAAUCAAAAAGAGUCUCAUUAGAUUGGUUUUCUAAGCCCUAAGAAUUUCACUUUCAAAAAUUAUUCAAGGUAUGAUGAAUUUAAGUUGAUACUAGCAGCAAGAUCUUUUAUUUUUAGUCUGAGCUCUUGCUUACAAUCUCAGUAUUAAUUGUGGGAGAAUAAAUAAUGGUCAAAAUAAUUAAAAACUAAGCAAUCAUAUAAUAAAUAAUUUUAAAGCUGGGUAGUACAUAUCUAAAGUAAUACAAAUAAAAUUUUAGAUGGUUACUGGUUUUGUUAUUCAAGAAGUAGUUUUUAAUUUGCUACAGUUAUUCCUCUCUCAAUAUUGUGUAUGUAAUUUAAUGUGUCAUUUGUUUUCUUUCAUCCAAUUACAUGUUUAAAAUUUAUUUGAAGUAAUUCUUACACAUUCAGAAUGAAGAUAACACCAUAUUUACACUCAUUCUUUUAAAGUAGUCUAUGUAUGUAACAAGCUUCAAAAUUAUGUAUUUAAGCACAUUAUUGUUCACCUACUAUCAUAGAUUUCAUUAUUUUAAAUUAAUUAAAAAAAUAACCUUGAAUUUUUCAAUAAUUAGCAACUGUAAUAAUAGAAAGUAAAAAUUAUUCUAUGAACAGAAGCAGUUAUAUUUAAUUUUGUAUAUCCUAAGCUAUGGAAGGAAGCACAAUAAAAAAUUCCAUGCCAUAACUAAAUAUAUACCACAGAUCUUCUAUCUAGAAAAUAUCAUCAAAAGUGCACAUUUUUAAAAAUUUUAUUUUUUAUUGAAAUAUAGUUGAUUUAUAGUAUAGUAUUAGUUUCUGGUGUAUAACAAAAUGAUUCAGUACUAUAUAUGUGUGUGUGUAUGUACAUAUGUAUGUACAUACACUUCUUUUUCAGGUUUUUUUCUGUUAUAGGUUAUUAUGAAAUAUUGAGUAUAAUUCCCUGUACUGUAUAAUAGGUCCUCACUGGUUAUCUAUAAAAUGCAAAUUAAUGUGGUGAAAAUAUUUAUUUAAAUGUUGGAAACUAUAUGAUUCAAGAUUUAUAUCAAAAUUAUAUUAAUUUCAAAUUUAUUUGAUGUAGUUAUCUUGAUAAUGUAAGUUUAAGCUAUAGUCAAUACUAUUGUUGCCAUCAUUCUUACUUUUUUCUAAAUGUCAAAUAUAUAGUCAAAACAUUCUCUGUACAAUUUUUUGCAACAUAAUGUU